rnacentral:misc_RNA from 1 species
GAUGAAGAACGCAGCGAAAUGCGAUACUUGGUGUGAAUUGCAGAAUCCCGUGAACCAUCGAGUCUUUGAACGCAAGUUGCGCCCGAAGCCACUAGGCCGAGGGCACGCCUGCCUGGGCGUCACACGCCGUUGCCCCCCCAUCUACUCCUUCGGGAUUGCGGGGGGGCGGAUGAUGGCCUCCCGUGCGCCUAGCCGCGCGGUUGGCAUAAAUACCAAGUCCUCGGCGACGCACGCCACGACAAUCGGUGGUUGCGAAACCUCGGUUGCCCGUCGUGUGCGUUCGUCGCGCAUCGAGGGCUCGAAAAAAUGCUCGGCUCCGGCUGGGCUUUCAACGCGACCCCAGGUCAGGCGGGGUUACCCGCUGAAUUUAAGCAUAUAAUAAGCGGAGGA